UACCAAGAAUUUUGAAAACUAGAGAUAAAAAUAUCUUAAAAACAGCCACAGAAAAAUGACAUAUUACCUACAAAUUGACACCAACUUGAAUGACAGCAAAUUUAUCAUUAGAAACCAUGGAGAAAUCAUCCAUGACUUCCUGCAAUGGAAGAUGAGGACACAGCUAAGUAUGAACAUUCAUCUUUUGAGGGCCACACAGGCACAAAUGUUACAGCUACAAGAGGAAAGAAGGUCACAACUGAGGAAAAGGGGCUGAGGGAACUCAAAAAAUACUGCAACUGGCAACAGAGACCACCAUCAAGGGAUAAAAUUACUUCAGCACCUACACACAAAACGCA
rnacentral:lncRNA from 10 species